GAACAUGGACAUAAUGGAACCAAAGAGAUUCAAUAAGAACAUUAAUAGAAUGGGCUCUAGGUCCGUAAUUAAAUGGUCCAACGUCUAUAUAGGAUUGGCUUUUACUUUUUGCCCCCAUUGAUAUUUACUGCUUGGACAAAAUUGUACUCCAAGAUGUAUGACCGGUAACCCUAGCACCCCCAACCUAAUUUGUUCUCCAUGUUGCCCCAACCCACAACACCCCUCUUCCUGACUUCCUUGGCGGCACCACCGUAGCUACGCCAUAGUCAACCUCAAACCCUGCUACAAUAAUGUCAAAGUUUACCUCAAACCCCGCGUCUCCCUCAUUCAUUCAACCUAACCGUAGGACCCCCCCUUCCCCUUCAUGCGAUGUUGGCAUUUCCCUCAUAACACAAUGUCUCCCCCAAUUCUCAAAGCAUCCCUUUUCCCUUUCGUGCGACACUGACGACAAAGGUUGUGAGAACAAGAGUAGAAUAAUCACUCCAUGAUGGUUUGAUUGUGAGAGUCAAUUUAGAUGGUGACAAUCAUGGUGAUAAACGCAUAAGACCUACAAUGUCAAAUCGUAAGUGACAUGUAGAAAGUCAAGUAGUGGAGCAUGUUCAACCUGUGGUGGUUGAUGAGCCUAUGGUGAUUGAUGAGCUUGUGGAGCUUGUUAAGCCUUUGAAGCAACAGGACCCAAAAGCCACUGAUGUCUUUCCUAGUGGGCUUGAGGACACAUCAUUGUUGACCUCAUAUGUCGAUCACAUGGCUUGAAGCUUAUAGGACAGACUGGGUCAUGUUGAACUAAAGUUAGUAUCAUUGGGAGAAAGCUCAAGAAGGAAAUUGCCCUACAUGAGCAGAUAAAGGAGUUGGUCAAGGGGUCUAGUUUAUUUUUGUUGACCACAUGCAGCUAGGAGAAAGUAGGCAAGGGACUGUUGUCUGCUUUUGCAAAGAGGUGGCAUAGGGAGACAAACAUGUUCCAUUUGCUUGUGAGAGAGGUGAAGAUAACACUAGAUGAUGUGUCAUUGUUACUACAUAAUCCCAUUAUUGGAUUUUUUUUUACAAUUUUCAGCAUAUGGAAAAGGAUGCAGCAGUUCUUGUGUUGGAGGAGUUACUUGGAGUUAAAACGAAGGAUGCACAUAAAGAGAGAAAGAAAACAUGAGGAGAAUUAUAAGCAAUUGGGCUUAAAUCCGAAAUUGGGCUAAACUGGCUUGGACUUGAAGAGAGCAGACAAUUUUAUUUGCUGUCCAAUUUUAUUUUAUUUCAUUUUUGGGCUGUAUUUUUGUUAUUGGGCCCAAAAUCAAAUUUGUAAGCUUUGGAGCCCAGCUACUAGGAUUUUUAGGUGGUCGGUUACUGUUCACAUAGGGAGAGUUUGGUAAGGUUUCAUUUUUCAGUUUUUCGUGUUACUGUUCAUGCACAUGGUACUGUUCACGUAGCAACUCCAUUUUCAUUUUCUGCUUCAAAUUCCAGUUUCGUUUUCUGCUUUUAA